rnacentral:rRNA from 1 species
AACGAACGCUGGCGGCAUGCCUAACACAUGCAAGUCGAACGAAACCUUCCUGUUUUUUUGCGCUCGUGUGCUUACCGCCUGGUAACCUGCCCUUAGGUUCCCAAUAACUCCCCUUAAGGUAUCCUAAUACCUGAUAAUCUCUUCCGACCAAAGAUUUAUCGCCUUUGGAUGGGCCCUCGUUGGUUUCGCUAGUUGGUAGUGUAAAAGCCUAUCAAGGAGAGGAUCCAUAGCUGGUCUGAGAGGAUGAUAAUCCACAAUGGGACUAAGACACGGCCCAGAAUGGUACGGGAGGGAGCAGUGGGGAAUAUUGGACAAGGGGGGAAAGUGUGAUAAAGCAAUGCCGGGGAAGUGAUGAAGGGGGUAGGAAAGUAAAGCUGUUUUAGACGGGAUGAGAAUGACAGUAAUGGGAGAAGAAGCUCCGGCUAACUACGUG